UAACGAAUCUUCCGCAAUGCACGAAAGUGUGACGGAGCGACGCCGCGUGUGGGAUGAAGUUCCUCGGAAUGUAAACCACUGUCAGGGGUUAGAAAGUUCUGAUCAACCCCAGAGGAAGGCACGGCUAACUCUGUGCCAGCAGCCGCGGUAAGACAGAGGUGCCAAGCGUUAGGCGGAAUCACUGGGCUUAAAGCGUGUGUAGGCGGAUUCCUAAGUACCUUGUGAAAUCCCACGGCUCAACCGUGGAACUGCUUGGUAUACUGGGUGUCUUGAGCCACUUAGGGGCUACCGGAACAAAUGGUGGAGCGGUGAAAUGCGUAGAUAUCAUUUGGAACGCCAAUGGUGAAAACAGGUAGCUGGGAGUGUGCUGACGCUGAGACACGAAAGCCAGGGGAGCAAACGGGAUUAGAUACCCGCGUAGUCC
rnacentral:rRNA from 1 species